GUAGGUGGCAAGCGUUGUCCGGAAUUAUUGGGCGUAAAGCGCGCGCAGGGCGGUCCUUUAAGUCUGGGUGUGAAAGCCCACGGGCUCAACCGUGGAGGGUCAUUGGAAACUGGGGGACUUGAGUACAGAAGAGGAAAGCGGAAUUCCAAGUGUAGCGGUGAAAUGCGUAGAGAUUUGGAGAAACACCAGUGGCGAAGGCGGCUUUCUGGUCUGUAACUGACGCUGAGGCGCGAAAGCGUGGGGAGCAAACAGGAUUAGAUACCCUGGUAGUCCACGCCGUAAACGAUGAGUGCUAAGUGUUAGGGGGUUUCCGCCCCUUAGUGCUGCAGCUAACGCAUUAAGCACUCCGCCUGGGGAGUACGGCCGCAAAGGCUG
rnacentral:rRNA from 1 species